GCUGGGCACGGUGGUGCACGCCUGUCAUCCCAGCAGCUGAGGAGGCUGAGGCAGGAGGAUCGCAAGUUCAAAGCCAGCCUCAGCAACAGUGAGGCCUAAGCCACUCAGUGAGACCCUGUCUCUA
rnacentral:sRNA from 1 species